rnacentral:rRNA from 1 species
UGACGGGGGCCCGCACAAGCAGUGGAGCAUUUUGUUUAAUUCGAUGAUACGCGAGUAACCUUACCAGGUCUUGACAUAUACUCGAAUACCGUAGAGAUACGGUAGUUCUUCGGAACGGGUAUACAGGUGUUGCAUGGUUGUCGUCAGCUCGUGCCGUGAGGUGUUGGGUUAAGUCCCGCAACGAGCGCGACCCCUAUCCUUUGUUGCUAACAAUUCGGUUGAGCACUCUAAGGAGACUGCCGGUGACAAACCGGAGGAAGGUGGGGACGACGUCAAAUCAUCACGGCCAUUACGACCUGGGCUACAAACGUGCUACAAUGGUCGGUACAAAGAGUUGCGAUACAGUGAUGUUGAGCUAAUCUCAAAAAGCCGUCCUCAGUUCGGAUUGGAGUCUGAAACCCGACUCCAUGAAGCUGGAAUUGCUAGUAAUCGCACAUCAUCAUGGUGCGGUGAAUAUGUUCCCGGGCAUUGUACACACCGCCCGUCACAUCACCCGAAUUGAUUAUACCCGAAG